CACACACAUAUAUAUUUUUUAAGUUACAGAAUAGUAUUGCCUCAAUAAGUCAUCAUAUUAAAAACCAGGAAGCCAAACGUGACUAUUAGAAAACCCCCCACUCUAGCUGAAACAGAAGUAGGAUCAUUUGGUGAAACAGCCAGUUCCGGCCAACAGCCGCUACCACUCCAGAGCUGAUAAACGGCAGCCUGGACGUCAGGCUGAUAAGACGAGCGCAGAAACAUGGAGCCUGAAGCCAAAUAAUUUCCCCGUCCAAGGCAGCAUAGAGGUUUCCUGUGAAGAGGUUUUUUCCUGCGGGCUUUGCUCUUGCAUCUUGUGAAGACGCAGAUCCAGCUCAAAACCACCCUGGGACUCAGCACGGAUGGGAUGGAGUCCUCCCCCCCAGGAACCAGGAGCCCCUCCCAUUAACCUCCACAUCACCACUUCCUCGGUUUUGAUGCUCCCCACCUUCCCCUUCUUUUUGGCCCAAUGAACACUGACAGACGGCUAUUGAAGACAGUUACUCUUUGGAUUUAGUCCUAACUUGGCCCUGGGCGAGUGGACAUGGUCUCCUUGUGUUCCUGUGGUUUUCCUCCUGUCCACCAAAGCCAUCCUAUGGAUGGCCUGUGGUGGACUGGCGUUUCACCCAGGCUGUUCCAUGUCUUGAGGGCCGUGAUGACCAUGAUGACUCUGACUAGCUCCAGAUUCCCAGCGACACUAAUUAAAUAAGUGGUCAUUAAAAUUGCAUACAUUGA